AACAAGGCGUACCUGCGGACCUGCGGAGGGAUCAUUACAAGUGACCCCGGUCUAACCACCGGGAUGUUCAUAACCCUUUGUUGUCCGACUCUGUUGCCUCCGGGGCGACCCUGCCUUCGGGCGGGGGCUCCGGGUGGACACUUCAAACUCUUGCGUAACUUUGCAGUCUGAGUAAACUUAAUUAAUAAAUUAAAACUUUUAGCAAUGGAUCU
rnacentral:misc_RNA from 1 species